UGGGGAAUAUUGCACAAUGGGCGCAAGCCUGAUGCAGCAACGCCGCGUGAACGAUGAAGGUCUUCGGUUCGUAAAGUUCUGUUGCAGGGGAAGAUAAUGACGGUUCCCUGUGAGGAAGCCCCGGCUAACUACGUGCCAGCAGCCGCGGUAAUACGUAGGGGGCUAGCGUUAUUCGGAUUUACUGGGCGUAAAGGGUGCGUAGGUGGUCUUUCAAGUCGGUGGUUAAAGGCUACGGCUCAACCGUAGUUAGCCUCCGAAACUGGAAGACUUGAGUGCAGGAGAGGGAAGUGGAAUUCCCGGUGUAGCGGUGAAAUGCGUAGAUAAUGGGGGGAACACCAGUAGCGAAGGCGGCUUUCUGGACUGCAAAUGACACUGAGGCACGAAAGCGUGGGUAGCAAACAGG
rnacentral:rRNA from 1 species